CCCACGCUGGUCCCUGGAGGCUGCUUGAGGAAGGAGUAUUAGUGAGAGCCCUAGACCACUUGAUAUCCUCAGACAUAGACAAUCUGCUUGGCUUCACUGCACAGACCAGCUCACCAUGGCCACAGCAUGCGACAGCACUUUCAAGAGAUACCUGCAAAAGAAGUCUCAGGCCGCGUGAAUCACUCUGGGUGUUGAGAAUGCCUCUCCUGCAAGGUUCAGGUGGGCCUUGCCAUGCGUAGAUUCUCCUUGAUGCUCUGUUUUCCUAUGUCAUUUUGGGAUUCCGGAAAGUAGGACUUUGCCUUUGCUUCCGGAGUGACUUCUGCGUGGCUUCCGUUUGCUUCAAAUUUCCCAGGUUCUCCUUUGAGAUAUGAGGGUUUCAUCUGUGCAUAUAUGUGUCACACUCUCUCAACCAAGAUGCCCUUAUUGGACCUCCUUUGUCCACUACAGCUCUCCACUGCUUUCACUGACCACCAUGUCUUCUGUUCAUCAUGGGACUCCUUUCCUAAGUGAGGGUGUUACUCAGACACCGGACCAUACCAGAGUGCCUGGAAGUCCCUGACCAUUAACAGCUCAUCUAGAGCAGAGGCUAGAGACCAGACUUCGUGGUAACUGAAGGCUGGCCACCCCGGGAAGUCUCGGACAACGACGUGUUUCUUGAGAAAAACCACUCAAGCUUUAAUCAUGCAGAGUCCAAAAUAACUAGUAAGAGACAGGCAACUGGUGUGCAAAUUGUGAAGCCACUGGAUUUUUAAAUCUGUUUCUUCCAUGCAGGAUUGGUUAUGUUUCACACCCAAAAAAAGCCAAUAAGAGCAAGAAACUGCCUGAGUCAGAGAGCUGUCAACCCAAAACUUAAAACAAAGAAGAGGAAUGUGUGCAUCGA